GACCUUAGUUGCCAGCAUUCAGUUGGGCACUCUAAGGUGACUGCCGGCUAAAAGUCGGAGGAAGGUGGGGAUGACGUCAAAUCAUCAUGCCCUUAUGACCUGGGCUACACACGUGCUACAAUGGCCGGUACAAAGGGCUGCAAUACCGCAAGGUGGAGCGAACCCCAAAAAGCCGGUCUCAGUUCGGAUUGGAGUCUGCAACUCGACUCCAUGAAGUUGGAACCGCUAGUAAUCGCGGAUCAGCAUGCCGCGGUGAAUACGUUCCCGGGCCUU
rnacentral:rRNA from 1 species